GCGGAGUGCUGGAUCCUGGGCUAUGUCCCCUGAUUCCCUGAGCUCCGGGGCCUGCGCCGCUGCAAUCGUGCUCCCAGGUCCGUGCAGCUCCCU
rnacentral:pre_miRNA from 1 species